UUCGCAAUGCCCGAAAGGGUGACGAAGCGACGCCGCGUGUGGGAAGAAGGCCUUCGGGUUGUAAACCACUGUCGGGAGUUAAGAAAUGCAAGGAUAUUAAUAGUGUCUUUGCUUGACUAAGGCUCCGGAGGAAGCCACGGCUAACUCUGUGCCAGCAGCCGCGGUAAUACAGAGGCGGCAAGCGUUGUUCGGAAUUAUUGGGCGUAAAGAGCACGUAGGCGGCUAUGUAAGUCGGUUGUGAAAGCCUUCCGCUCAACGGGAGAACAGCAUCCGAUACUACAUGGCUUGAGUGCGGGAGGGGAGAGUGGAACUUCUGGUGGAGCGGUGAAAUGCGUAGAUAUCAGAAGGAACACCGGCGGCGAAGGCGACUCUCUGGUCCGUAACUGACGCUGAGUGUGCGAAAGCUAGGGGAGCAAACGGGAUUAGAUACCCCGGUAGUCCUAGCCGUAAAC
rnacentral:rRNA from 1 species